GGUGGAGCGAAUCCCUUAAAGCGCGUCUCAGUUCGGAUUGGGGUCUGCAACUCGACCCCAUGAAGUCGGAGUCGCUAGUAAUCGCAGAUCAGCAACGCUGCGGUGAAUACGUUCCCGGGCCUUGUACACACCGCCCGUCACGUCAUGAAAGUCGGUAACACCCGAAGCCGGUGGCCUAACCCCUUGUGGGAGGGAGCUGUCGAAGGUGGGAUUGGCGAUUGGGACGAAGUCGUAACAAGGUAGCCGUACCGGAAGGUGCGGCUGGAUCACCUCCUUUCUAAGGAG
rnacentral:rRNA from 1 species